GACAGUAUGGCCGAGUGGUUAAGGCGCUAGACUUGAAAUCUAGUUCUUUCGAGAUCCAGGGUUCAAAUCCCUGUGCUGUCG
rnacentral:tRNA from 1 species